CACCCAAGGUCUGCAAGAUUGCAAAGGGAUCAAGCCCACACAAACGCAAUGCAACAGCCCCCAUCCUGCAGCUGCAGAGUGUCCCAGCUCUGCAUCCACUCACUGGGGUUUUGCACAGCACCUUGCAUCCCUCUGGGGACUGGGAUUUUGCAUGUGCACAAAGCAAUGGGCUGGCUUUGCAGGAAAGCGCACAGUCAUGCAUCCCCUUCUCUGCUUUUUCCUGAGCUCUGCAAGGUUUGGCAGUGUCAGGAGGCUCUGCAGAUACCAAGCAGAGCUGGAUGAAACUACAGGCUGCAGGAAGAACAAAUCACUCGGUGUCUCCCGGAGUGAACUGUAUGGUUCUAUAUAAAUCCUGAGGCACGGCUGCUCAUUCACUUUCGGGAAUCAGCAAUGGAAAUAAUCUAAUCGCUUACGUCAAGUAAAAUCCAUUAGCUCUAAUUAGCCCAAUGGAGUUGCUGGCUGCAAACCUCACUUGGAAGGCAUAGGAGUUUAAAAAAAAAUAAAAUAAAAGUGCCUCAGAGUUCAAAUUACAGCAGAAAGCAGAAAUGGCUUUCCCCUUUCUCCUGGAUAAAGGCCAUGGUGCCAUGCUGGGACAUUGGGUUGGUUUAGGUUGGGUUUGGAAAUAGCUUUCCCUGUUCUGGGAAAAGGCCAUGGUGCCAUGGUGGGACAUUGGGUAGGAUUAGGUUAGGUCAGGGAAUAGCUUUUCCUGUUCUGGGAAAAGGCUGUGGUGCCAUGCUGGGACAUUGGGUUGAGUUAGGUUGGGUUGGGGAAUAGUUUUCCCUGUUAUGAUAAAAGGCCAUGGUGCCAUGAUGGGACGUUGGGUUGAGUUGGGUUGGGUCAGGGAAUAACAUUCCCCUUUCUCCUGGAUAAAGGCCAUGGUGCCAUGAUGGGACGCUGGCCUGGAUUGGGUUGAGGAGUAGCUUUCCCUGUUCUCGUGGGAAAAGGCCAUGGUGUCAUGGUGGGACGUUGGGUUGGGUUGGGAAUGACCAAGGACAGCAUUGUUACUGCACUGGGAUUUGCCCAGUGGGGUUUGAUGCCACCCAAGAAAGCUGGUUUGCAUGGUGCUAGGGGUAUCACACUGGGGAGCAAAGCAGAGCAAACCCUGAAUGUUGCAGCACCCUGAAUCAGUGUUGGCUUUUGGUAGAUGCCCAGGAGGCAGUGCUGGAUCUCAUCCGUGCAGGGAUGGGUCCCAUCCCUGGUGCAGAGGCAUGGAAUAGCUCCAGGCACUCCCUAUGCAAUGACAGCAGGAGUGGUUUGGGAGCUAAUUAACCAGGAGUUGGUGAAUCUUUUCCAGGCAUCCUCAGAUGGAGUCAGG
ensembl:lncRNA